UGUGCCUGUAUCUUGGCAGAAGUUGGAAAAGCAAAUCAUUUCUUGCUACUGUUAGAACUGCAUCUUCAGGGUCACCUUCUGGCUGUCCUCGGAUUUUGGCAAACGCACUUCAAAGAAGAUGCUGUUCUUCACUAAACUGGAUGUGGGCUCAAUGUCAACCUCCACCACAAAUCUUUGUUCCACAGAGUCUCUUGAAAUCACUUCAACAAAAACAGACUUGGAAAUUGUGUCAUCUUCGCUACUUUUAUCUGCUGGAUCACAGCUGUCUCCAGUUGAAGUGUUUAGAGCUGAGGUAUUUCUGCAUCUUCCUGGAUCUGUCUGUGCACUGGCUGUGUCAGAUGUCGUGCUGGUGCAACUGGGUCUUGCUGGAGCUGUGUAUGCAUUCGGAGGUGUCUGUGUGUUGGCUGUGUCAGAUGUGCUGGCGGAACUGGGUCUUGUUGGAGCUUUGUGUGCAGCCAGAGUUGUCUGUGUGUUGGCUGUGUCAGAUGUGCUGGCGGAACUGGGUCUUGUUGGAGCUUUGUGUGCAGCCAGAGUUGUCUGUGUGUUGGCUGUGUCAGAUGUGCUGGUGGAACUGGGUCUUGCUGGAGCUUUGUGUGCAGCCAGAGUUGUCUGUGUGUUGGCCAUGUCAGAUGUUGUGCUGCCGGAACGCUUGGCUUGCUGUGUGUGAAGGUGGAGCUGCCGAAGUUCAUUUCUCUUACGGAUUAACAUAUGGAUUUGGCCUCCCUUCAUACCUAUGCCUUUGAGGAAAGCCUCAUCCACUUCCAUCAGCACGGGACCUGUCACUUCUUCUGCACAGAGUUUUUCUACAUACUCCUGCUUGAUUCCAGUAGAUUCUAGCCAGCCUCGGACAUGGGUCUCAUCCCAUUCGUUCACAGGUAGUGUUUUGUAAUCUGGAAGUUAAAAUUACAUCAUAGCAAUGCAGACUGAAAACACAUCAGUGUGCUUGAUAAGCUGUCAUCAUCCUUGCCAGGGAAUGAUCCUUUGCUUUCUCCUAGGCAUAGUGAUAGACUGUGUCUUAGCUUUUCAGGUAUGUCGGUUCUGAUGUCCUUAACCUUAAUGAAAAGCGGUCCUGAGCAGUGGUACCAGAUAAAUAAAUUAGGCAAGCAGGAAAUCAUGAUGGAGCUUUGGAAGUGAGCCUCAAAGGGAGUCAUGUGAGUAACCCAUAAUGGCUAAGGUUAUCAGAACUUAGAGGGGGUGAGCUAUGUAAACUAGAGAGGUUUGGGUAGAUCAUUUGAGUCAAUUUAUUUUCUGCUAAAUGAGAUGGUGUUACAAGUACUCACUAGUUCCCCAUUAGAGAUGAACCCUUAAAAUGCAGAUAUUAAAUGCAAAUUACUACAUAUGAAGUACAAGUUUUCUGAAUAUAACACAUACCCAUUGCCUUUGAUGAGGGAAAUCCUCUUGGUAACGAACAAAACCCUAAAGGGGGAGAAAACAAUUUGUCUUUAGAUUUACAGUUAGCAUUCCUGUGUUAAAGCUCCUCCUCCACACUGUUCUGUCCAUGAUACUUUCUGCACCUCUAAAAGCCUGCUCUUGCCAGCUGCUCUGCCUAUACACCUGUGCUGUGGUGUUGUGUUUUUUUGUUUAAGAGCAGGACAGACUUAGAUUUUUCUGCUUUACUCCUUUUAAAGAAAAAGGGUAGUAAAAUAAUAACACACUGAAUUGGAGAAAAACACAGAAAAGUUGUGUAAUACAGAAAGAUGCUGGAGUGGGUGCAGAGAAGGGCAACGAGGCUGGGGAGAGAUCUGGCAAACAUGACCUGUGAGGAGCAGCUGAGGGAGCUGGGGGUGUUUAGUCUGGAGAAGAGAAGGCUGAGAGGGGACCUUAUUGCCCUCUACAACUACCUAAAAGGAGGUUGUAGUGAGGCUGGAGCUGGUCUCUUCUCCCAAAUUAUUAAUGAUAGGACAAGGGGAAAUGGCCUCAAGUUGCGUCAGGGGAGGUUUAGGUUGGAUGUUUGGAGGAAGCUCUUUCCUGAGCAGGUGGUCAGGCCCUGGAACAGGCUGCCCAGAGAGGUGGUGAAGUCACCAUCCCUGGAGGUGUUUAAGAGGAGAGUGGAUAUGGCACUUGAGGCUAUGAUCUCUGGUGAUUAAGGAUGAUCCUGGUGGAUCCAACCAUAGCGAUUGAUAGCAUUUAAAAAUGUGCAGGAACAGAUACAGCAUACAUGAAUCCUUAACACCUAAUACAGGCACAGGAUACAUAAGAAUUCCCCCAAAACCUUCCCCCAACCAAACCAAAACUACCAAAACCCCACUGCUCAUUUUCUCCCGUGCCUUAUUAUCUCUCAGUUAGGCCCCAAGCAGGCCGAACUCACUGUGACCUGUGGCCUUGAAGGCUGCAGCCUGCAGGGUGUGUUUACACAGUUACCCAGAUAGGGGUCCCUCUGGAAAGCUGGAAAGGAAAAGGGAGAAAAGAGAGCUAAUUGACCUUGCUGCUUACUUUUAAAGUGUUUGCAGGAUGUGAAUAACACAUAUCUGGGGAUGACCAUUUCAUCCCCUGGCACACAUCUUGGUCUCUAAUAGUUUUUUCAGGAAAUCAGGGAUGACCUGGAACCCCUCAAACCACCACAUGUGUGAAGGCAGCUGCUCUGGCUGUGACACGGGUGUGAAGGAGCGAGGGUUUUGCUGGAGAAGUGUCUGAGAGCUGUGCUUACCUAUCAGCUCCUUCUGUUAGGUAGUGGAGAAGGAGUCCUAGAGCCAGCUACACAGUAGCUCUUGCUUUUUUAUUGCUCUUUUUUCUCUUAUUUUCCCUGCUUCUUUCUCCCUCACACUCUUCUUUUCCUCCCUUUUAUUUGCAGGCACUCUUCCCCUCUGCCACCACCACCUCUAUUUUUUUUCUUGCACACCAGUUCUGGUGUUCAUUUUCUGUGAAGCAGUUUGACUCUGCCCAACCCACCUGAAGUGUCUUUUACUGGGCUGGCCUGGCCCAAUACAUAACAUCUCUGCCUUGCUUAGGCUCCAUUCCCAGGAUAUAAAGGUGGACUGCAGCACAUAUAGUUCUGUACUGAGGAGAAAAUGUGAAAUAGUCCUGCUCAGACUAGCGCCAGAUGUAUAAAUAGAUUGUCACAGUCAUCAGUAACCAUCUGUGAGGUACAGACUAGUCAAGAAGGGUGUUGUGGUAGGCCUGGAUAAGUCAACAUAGGCUUAUAUACAUGUACUGGCUUGCCCAGACAUGUUUUUCUGCUCUACCUCCUCCUGCUAUUGGGAAAAGUAACAGUGGGAAAGAGGACAAAGAACCUGGAGCCACUGAGGCUAAGGCCUUUGGUAAACAUCCUGUGGUAAAAAAGGUACACAGGCUUAGCUUGUGCCUGCCUUGUACAAGGCCUGUGGUCAAGCUUGGAUAACUGCCAUUCUGAUCAGCUACUCCAUGUCCAAAGAUCCAUUAGUCUUGGGCUGUAUUGAUAAGAGAGAUGAGCAGGUAACAAACAUGGUCUGACGUUGUAUUCGUGCUUGCUUGCCUGCUGCCAUUGCUUACUGCCUUACUGCAUCCUGAACUGCCUGGAAACUGCCUGCCUCGAGCUUACCAGGAGCAGGCUCUCAGUGCCUCCACGCAAUCGGCCUGUGUAGCCAGCGUGACAUCACGCUAAGACUGCACAUCAUGAGACAUCCUGCCUACACCUGAAACUCUCCUGCCAAGAUGAGAAGUCCUGGAGACACGCUGAUCAUCCAGAGAAUCCACCAUCAGACCGAGAUUGUCUGUCUCCUUUCCCCAGCACUCUGUGAAGCCUGGGAAGAAUCAGAAGCCUCAGUGGCUGGCAAGACAGUCAGAAUUCCCUGAAAGCAUUUGGGUACUGUGUGAAGCUGUAGCCAGCCCCACGAGUCAGGAGAUAAUUUUGUGAGUAAGUAUUUCAAGCCUCUUGUAAUUCACCAUUGCUUUCUGCCAUGAGCAGAAAGGAGCUCCCUGAGUCUGUCGAGUGGACAAGCGGUGUACUGACCACAAGAACCUUCUCUUCCCAUUCAGUUAAUGACUAUAUAUUUUUGCUAGUUAUUUUUGGAUCUACUUAUUCCUCUCUCUAACGUUUCCAUGACUAUGCAAAGAACCAAUUAUUAUUAAAAUUAGUGGUCAAGGGUGGCAAGAGUUCUGAAUACCCAAAUUAAUAAAUGAUUCAUUUUUGUGAUGGUUUGGGUGUUACACCCCACACACACACUUUAGAAAUCACCCAGACUAGACUCAUCCAGCUCUGGAAAUGGAAUGAAGCUUUUCUGUUUACAGCUUAGCACAAUGUACAAGCAGAUAGUUACAGUAUAUACAGGUAUAGAUAGAAAUACACAAGGUAAAAGGUAACACGGAACCACAACAGCCCUCCCAGAAACCUGAGUCCCCAGGAGGGGCUCCCAACCACCCUUCCUCCUUCUCCCACCCCUCUCUACAUUACCCCAGGCAUUGCCUUGUGCCCAAGGAAGAAUGGAGGGUUGGCCAGGGGGUGUAGGAAGCAGGUGGAUUAAUUAGGUUAGGUUACAGACAGAAAUGCAGCUCAAAACCCAGGCAGUGAUCGAAUGUCUUAGUUAUGUUUGGAUUCCUGCUCUUAGACAUCUCAGCAAGCCUAUGGGUGAGGUAGGCAUCACCAGUGUUUCAUAGCCUGUAAUCUAGGGGUGUGGCAGUGUUGGUUCUCUUACUGUGGUGUGAAAGCUCAGCUCUGUUCUGGUUCAGCAGGUGUCCAUAGCCCAGCCAGCUCCAUCACUGCAGCUCCUGAAGCUACAGCAGUGAUGCUCACAGCUCUGAGUCCAGCUGUAGAAGAAGCAGUCAGUCUAGCCAGAGUAAAAGCCAGAUGUGGGGCUGCACAAGCUCUCCACAACCUCUGAAAGUACAAAGGGAAGAGGAUGACCGUGGAUUGGCAACAGUACAGAUGGCUUCGCUGGCAUGGGAGGAACCUCUUUGGAUGGCUGCAGAGUGAGGCUGUGGGCCCUGCCCCACAAAACAGUAAACCACAUCAGUUAUGGAAUCCUGUACAGCACAGGAAUGGUGCAUAGCCGUUUGAUCCAGCUUUUGCUCUCCAUUCUUACUGUCUUGAGCACUGCCUUGGAACAACUCCAGUACCAGGGUUCAUUGCUCUGCUGAAGUCACCCAUUGCGCCUUGGGCUCCUACCGUCUCCUGAUCCAGUGCAGGCAGAGAUACAAGGCACUUUAUGGAAGCUUCGUUUCGUCAAAGAGACAGAAUUCAGCUCUUUGAUCCCAUUUUUCCCUGCUAAAGAUCCCGCACGGAGCCUCCUUUAUACGAUCGGAAUUUGCGAAGGUCUGCAGAGGAUAGGACAAGAGUUCUUGUGUCUUGCUGCAGUUUGGGUUGCUGGCCUCAAAAACAACGUAUGUGCACCCACUUUCACAUAGUGGAACCUUCUUCCCUGAAAGGGUUCUCAAACACUGGAACAGCCCCCCCCCCCAAGGAGGUAGAUGAAGCCCUGUCCUUGGAGGGGUUUCAAAGACACACAGAUGUGGUCCUGAAGGCCACGGUUUCACACCAGACUUGGCAGAGUUAGAGAUUGGUUUGACUCAUGUGAUCUUAAAAAGCUUUUCCAACAAAACAAGUCUGAUUCUACUUCCUUAUGGGUGUGCUCCAACAAACAUGGACUUUGUUCUGAAGAAGUGCUCUGGUCAUGUGCCAAAACCGAGAACGUAAACCUUCACUUUCCUGCCCCAACAAACUGGGAGCAGCAGCAGCAGCUGCUAAUAAACACUUCCUUUACCUGUCUGAAGAGGAA